rnacentral:rRNA from 1 species
GAUGAACGCUAGCGGCAGGCUUAAUACAUGCAAGACGAACGGUAAGUAGUGUAGCAAUACAUUGCCUAGAGUGUCGUACGGGUGCGUAACACGUAUGCAACCUACCCAAAACAGGAGUAUAGCUCGGGGAAACUCGAAUUAACCCUCCAUAAGAUCGUGAAGUGGCAUCACUUAGCGCUUAAAACUGAGGUGGUUUUGGAUGGGCAUGCGUCUGAUUAGCUAGUUGGCGGGGUAAUGGCCCACCAAGGCGAUGAUCAGUAGGGGAACUGAGAGGUUGAUCCCCCACACUGGCACUGAGAUACGGGCCAGACUCCUACGGGAGGCAGCAGUAGGGAAUAUUGGUCAAUGGGUGAGAGUCUGAACCAGCCAUGCCGCGUGCAGGAAGAAGGCCUUCUGGGUUGUAAACUGCUUUUGCCAGGGGAUAAAACGGUCGUGCGCGACUAAUUGAAGGUACCUGGUGAAUAAGCCACGGCUAACUACGUGCCAGCAGCCGCGGUAAUACGUAGGUGGCAAGCGUUGUCCGGAUUUAUUGGGUUUAAAGGGUGCGUAGGCGGCCCUGUAAGUCAGUGCUGAAAUCCCCCGGCUUAACCGGGGUGGUGGCAUUGAUACUGCAGGGCUUGAGUACAGAUGAGGUAGGCGGAAUUGACGGUGUAGCGGUGAAAUGCAUAGAUAUCGUCAAGAACACCGAUAGCGAAGGCAGCUUACUGGGCUGUAACUGACGCUGAUGCACGAAAG